rnacentral:lncRNA from 1 species
GCAGAAUGGAAUUAGACUUUUAGUAUAGGGGCUUCAAUUGCAUUUUUACCGGAAUUAUAUGUUAAAAUAAUAUUAUUAUACAUUUUGGGUAAAUAUUCUAUUCACUUCUAAUGGAGUAAAAAUACUACACUCUAAGGGUGUUUGAUAAACCAUUGAAAAUUUUUAUUUUAUUUUUGAAUAUUUUCAUUUCAUUGAAAAUGAAUUUUUUU